GUGAGCUCUUCUACGAAAGAUCUUGUGAAAGUUUUUGUGAGACAUCUCAACUCGGGGUUACACUUGGCUCCUCAGUGCUCCUACCAUGCGUCUUUUCAACAAAUAGCAACAACAGGAUUAACUGGAUCCAUAAUGGGGAGGACGACCUUGUGAUUAUUUCGUCCAAGGGCAAAGUUACAUUCCUGGGCCCUAGACACGGCCGAGUGAAAGUCUUUUCAGUCCAGGCCUCGGAGGGGAACUACUCAAUCUGCAUUGAUGAUCUGAAAAAGUCUGAUCUGGGCUGUUACCUCUGCAAGCAGAGAGAUGACUGUUUUCAAGUAGAGUUGUUGAGAGGACAUAUGUUGACCGGUAAAUGAAGUGAUGAGAUGCAGCUGCUGAGAUACAUCUUUGUUGGUGUUGCUGUUCUCAUCUUGCUCAGCUUUGGUGCUCACUACUGCUGCAAGGAAUGGCUUUAUAACAACAACACACAGGACAACACAGACAACCCUGUCAGUUCAGAUACUGGAGGCAGACAAUAAUUUUAAAACAAUGCUAGGAUAAAAAGCAGAGACAAAUCCUAUGCAAAUGUGGGCUCCGUGAUCACAAAAAAGGAAGAAGAAAGAAAAUUACAGCCACCGAAUGAAUACUUAAUAUGUGGUUACUGUUUGACAGAUGUUUUAAGACUGAAAACCAUUUAGUUCUAUCUUGUAAAAUCUUUAAUAAAAU